rnacentral:rRNA from 1 species
GACGAACGCUGGCGGCGUGCUUAACACAUGCAAGUCGAACGGAAAGGCCCCUUCGGGGGUACUCGAGUGGCGAACGGGUGAGUAACACGUGAGUAACCUGCCCUUGACUUCGGGAUAACUUCAGGAAACUGGGGCUAAUACCGGAUAGGAAUCCUUGCUGCAUGGUGGGGGUUGGAAAGCUUCGGCGGUUUUGGAUGGACUCGCGGCUUAUCAGCUUGUUGGUGGGGUAGUGGCUUACCAAGGCUUUGACGGGUAGCCGGCCUGAGAGGGCGACCGGCCACAUUGGGACUGAGAUACGGCCCAGACUCCUACGGGAGGCAGCAGUGGGGAAUAUUGCACAAUGGGCGGAAGCCUGAUGCAGCAACGCCGCGUGCGGGAUGACGGCCUUCGGGUUGUAAACCGCUUUCAGCAGGGGCGGAGCUUGUGGUGACGGUACCUGCAGAAGAAGCACCGGCUAACUACGUG